UACGUAGGGGGGCAAGCGUUGUCCGGAUUUAUUGGGCGUAAAGAGCGUGUAGGCGGCUUUACAGGUCCGUUGUGAAAACUCGAGGCUCAACCUCGAGACGCCGGUGGAAACCGUAAGGCUAGAGUCCGGAAGAGGAGAGUGGAAGUUCUGGUGUAGCGGUGAAAUGCGCAGAUAUCAGGAAGAACACCCGUGGCGAAGGCGGCUCACUGGACCGGAACUGACGCUGAUGCGCGAAAGCGUGGGGAGCAAACGGG
rnacentral:rRNA from 1 species